rnacentral:rRNA from 1 species
AUUGAACGCUGGCGGCAGGCUUAACACAUGCAAGUCGAGCGGAGUGAUGGUGCUUGCACUAUCACUUAGCGGCGGACGGGUGAGUAAUGCUUAGGAAUCUGCCUAUUAGUGGGGGACAACAUCUCGAAAGGGAUGCUAAUACCGCAUACGUCCUACGGGAGAAAGCAGGGGAUCACUUGUGACCUUGCGCUAAUAGAUGAGCCUAAGUCGGAUUAGCUAGUUGGUGGGGUAAAGGCCUACCAAGGCGACGAUCUGUAGCGGGUCUGAGAGGAUGAUCCGCCACACUGGGACUGAGACACGGCCCAGACGCCUACGGGAGGUAGCAGUGGGGAAUAUUGGACAAUGGGGGGAACCCUGAUCCAGCCAUGCCGCGUGUGUGAAGAAGGCCUUAUGGUUGUAAAGCACUUUAUGCGAGGAGGAGGCUCUUUUGGUUAAUACCCAAGAUGAGUGGACGUUACUCGCAGAAUAAGCACCGGCUAACUCUGUGCCAGCCGCCGCAGUAA